rnacentral:rRNA from 1 species
GUUCUCAAGACUAAGCAUGCACGUCUAAGUACAAACUAAAUGAUGGUGAAACUGCAAAUGGCUCAUUACAACGGUUAUGAUGUACCCGGGAGUUCCGAUGGAUAUUUCCAGUAACACUAGAACUAAUACAUGUCCCUGCGUUUAUUAGUUUCGCACAGUCCGUCGCUGAGUCAUGGUAAACAGUUGAUCGACUCGACGUCCCGGAACAGUUUCCGCCCCAUCAGCUUCGAUGGUUGGGUAUUGGCCUACCAUUGCAACAACGGGUAACGAGGAAUUAGGGUUUGAUUUCGGAGAGGGAGCCUGAGAAACGGCUACCACAUCUACGGAUGGCAGCAGGCGCGCAAAUUACCCAAUGCAGACACUGUGAGGUAGUGACGAGAAAUAAUAAAGCGGGACUUCUGUUUCGCUAUUAUAAUGAGGAAUAACCAAAGGUCAUUCCGAUUAGCAACUGAUGGGAAAGUCUGGUGCCAGCAGCCGCGGUAAUACCAGCGUCAGUAGCA